GAUACUGGAAACCGGAGCUAAUACCGGAUAAUAUUUCGAACCGCAUGGUUCGAUAGUGAAAGAUGGUUUUGCUAUCACUUAUAGAUGGACCUGCGCCGUAUUAGCUAGUUGGUAAGGUAACGGCUUACCAAGGCGACGAUACGUAGCCGACCUGAGAGGGUGAUCGGCCACACUGGAACUGAGACACGGUCCAGACUCCUACGGGAGGCAGCAGGG
rnacentral:rRNA from 1 species